ACGCGCGGAUCUUCCAGAGAUUAGAGUUUGAUCCUGGCUCAGAACGAACGCUGGCGGCAGGCUUAACACAUGCAAGUCGAACGUCCCGCAAGGGGAGUGGCAGACGGGUGAGUAACGCGUGGGAACAUACCCUUUCCUGCGGAAUAGCUCCGGGAAACUGGAAUUAAUACCGCAUACGCCCUACGGGGGAAAGAUUUAUCGGGGAAGGAUUGGCCCGCGUUGGAUUAGCUAGUUGGUGGGGUAAAGGCCUACCAAGGCGACGAUCCAUAGCUGGUCUGAGAGGAUGAUCAGCCACAUUGGGACUGAGACACGGCCCAAACUCCUACGGGAGGCAGCAGUGGGGAAUAUUGGACAAUGGGCGCAAGCCUGAUCCAGCCAUGCCGCGUGAGUGAUGAAGGCCUUAGGGUUGUAAAGCUCUUUCACCGAUGAAGAUAAUGACGGUAGUCGGAGAAGAAGCCCCGGCUAACUUCGUGCCAGCAGCCGCGGUAAUACGAAGGGGGCUAGCGUUGUUCGGAAUUACUGGGCGUAAAGCGCACGUAGGCGGAUAUUUAAGUCAGGGGUGAAAUCCCGCAGCUCAACUGCGGAACUGCCUUUGAUACU
rnacentral:rRNA from 1 species